AUUUAUAUAGUUUAAAUUAAAACAUUAUUUUUUCAAAAUAAAAUUAAAUAAAAUUUAUAAAUU
rnacentral:tRNA from 1 species